rfam:Candidatus Schekmanbacteria bacterium RBG_13_48_7 RBG_13_scaffold_1369, whole genome shotgun sequence.
GCGCCUGUAGCUCACCUGGAUAGAGCGUCGGACUCCGGAUCCGAAGGUUGCAGGUUCGAUCCCUGUCAGGCGCA